UAAUUAAGUUUCAUUUAUCAUAUUAUAUUUCGUUUAUUUUGACGUAAUAAAAAAUUCGGAUAGGUAAUACUCCCUCCGUCCCGGUCAAGGCGCUACAUUUGCUUUUCGGCACGGGAUUUAAGGAGUUGUAGAUUAAUGUUUUAAGUGUGUAAUAAUAAAGUGAUAAAGUAGGAGAGAGAAAGUAAUAAAGUGAUAAAGUAAGAAAGAGAAGGUAAUAAAGUGAUAAAGUAGGAGAGAGAAUGUAAUAAAAAAAUACUUAAUUAGUGUUAAUUAAGUGUUUAAGAUUUCCUAUUUUUGCCAAAUAUAGAAAUGUAGCAUCUUCGUUGGGACGAUCCAAAAAGGAAUAUAUAGCAUCUUGGGCGGGACGGAGGGAGUAUAAAUUUUUGAAUAGUAUUUUCUCUCUUGGAAAAUACUAUAUAAUUUUAUACCUAAGAAAAUAUAAUUCAAGGAGUAUAAUUUUAUAACACCUUAUGAGAAGUGGAUAAACAUAUUAUCAUUCAAAUCAAAUAAUAUAUAUAAAAAAAAUGUGAUCUCCAUUUUAACUGAUACAUUUAUACCUUAUUAUAUUGUUGCUCAAGUUAAAGAGAUAAAAAAGCGAACAAUAUUAUAUACUUAUACUUGAUGAAGGUUUAUUUAAAGAUUAAAUUCACCAAAAGUUAAUUGUGAUGUACUGAUCAUGUGGUCAUUAUUUAUUCAAUUUUAGCUUUACGAAAUAAGAUGAUCGUUUUCCUUUAAUUGUGAUGUGGUCAUUAUUUAUUCAAUUGUGAUCGUUUUAAAUUAUAGGGACGAAGAUAUGUUGAAUGAAGACGCUAUAGAUAUUAUACUAUCUUUUUGCUCUCUUUACGAUUUGUUAUCUUUAAUUAUUAAAUUUAUCAUGAAAAAAAUAAAGGGGGUUAAUUGCUUGUAAAUUCACGAACUUUAGCAAAAAUUUAUUUUUAACACGUUUUUUCAAAAUUCCAAUUUAAUACACCAACUUUAACUCGUUGUUCAAUUUUAACAACGAUCAAAUCUCUGGCGAAUUAGAAACACACGUGGCUAUGAUGUGGCUUCUAGUUUCGGAGUCCAGAUCUGGUGUGCCUCUCGCUUCAUACAUGAGCCACAGAGCACCCAAAUCCUUCGCUACUUCCGCUAGGCCGCCACGCCGGAUGAGGGUUUUCAGGGAGGGCGCACAGGAUGAAGGAGAGAAGGGUUUGAAGAGGAACAUAGGAGAAGAAGAAUUUAAGAGAGGGAGAGGAAGGGCCGCAGGGCCGCGGAGGAAGAAAGAAGGCUGCACGCCUAGAUCUGCAAAUCGUGGAG
rnacentral:lncRNA from 1 species